AUUGAACGCUGGCGGCAGGCCUAACACAUGCAAGUCGGGCGAAGCGGCGGACGGGUGAGUAAUGCCUAGGAAUCUGCCUGGUAGUGGGGGAUAACUCCCGGAAACGGGCGCUAAUACCGCAUACUAGCAGAUGAGCCUUGGUCGGAUUAGCUAGUUGUUGGGGUAACGGCUUACCAAGGCGACGAGCCGUAACUGGUCUGAGAGGAUGAUCAGCCACACUGGAACUGAGACACGGUCCAGACUCCUACGGGAGGCAGCAGUGGGGAAUAUUGCACAAUGGGCGAAAGCCUGACGCAGCCAUGCCGCGUGUGUGAAGAAGGUCUUCGGAUCGUAAAGCACUGUAAGUUGGGAGGCGUUACCUACAGAAGAAGCACCGGCUAACUCCGUGCCAGCAGCCGCGGUAAUAC
rnacentral:rRNA from 1 species